AUAAAAUCAUCAGCCAGUUGCAACUGAAACGCACCACAGUGACUUCAGCCAGUAACUCUCAAUUUUUUUUCUUUUUUGCUUUCUAAAGGCCCCCUCCACCCCUGGUCAGUCUCAGCACUACAGAAUAACGAGCAAACAGUUAAACUGGGCUAGCGCUGAACUUCCAUAGAGAUUUAUGUCUACCCAUCCUCCAGAGGGACUAUAAAACCAGCGAAGACAUCUCAUUUGGAAAUCUCUUGUAUUAAGAAAAGUGAUGGGUGCGGUCCAAAAGUGGACUGAAUGAUCUGUAGACCAGUGUGUACUUCAAAACAGAGUCCUAACUCCUAUGAAGGCCUUCUGUCAUCAGCUGAGGAUCUCAGAACUGACCAUUCCAGCUUCUCCAAAGGACCCUCCCACCCUGUUCUUUCACACACAAAAAAAUCCUUCUUAAUAUUAGCCUAAAUACGUUUGGCAUUUUUUUCUCUCUAUAUUUUGCCUUGGAUUUAAAAAAAUUCCCAGGUAGAUUUUUAUCUCCCCCGUGCCCAAAUCCCCACUAUAAUAAAACUGCCGGGAGGUUGUAACACUCACGGGACAAGCCACGUUGUAAAUAGCACAGCGUGGCGACCAUUUCAGGAAACUGACCACUGACUUUCUGCCCGGCUGACCUCUCGUGAUCUCUGACCCCGGGCAGAGGAAUAAGCAAAGGGGAAGAGCCGGGUUGCGGGUGUAGCCUCGGUUCGUGGAAGGCGCCCAGGUCUAGAGGUUCACCCGAUGUCUGCUAAAAACGUGUGGUGUCUGGAGAGGUGGGAGCUCCGGAGCUGGAGAAGGAAGGAAAAUAAGAGAACCCUCCUGGAAACUUUGCUGGGUUAUGCUUUGGAAAACGUGGCUUAUACCAAUGGCCCAACCUAUGUGCGUUUGUAGCAAGGAAAAGUCGGUGCCCGCCAUCUUCACCACUGUGUCUCCAAAGUCAGUGCCCGCCAUCUUCACCACUGUGCCUCCAAAGUCAGUGCCCGCCAUCUUCACCACUGUGUCUCCAAAGUCAGUGCCCGCCAUCUUCACCACUGUGCCUCCAAAGUCAGUGCCCGCCAUCUUCACCACUGUGUCUCCAAAGUCAGUGCCCGCCAUCUUCACCACUGUGCCUCCAAAGUCAGUGCCCGCCAUCUUCACCACUGUCUCCAAAGUCAGUGCCCGCCAUCUUCACCACUGUAUCUCCAAAGUCAGUGCCCGCCAUCUUCACCACUGUAUCUCCAAAGUCAGUGCCCACCAUCUUCACCACUGUGUCUCCAAAGUCAGUGCCCGCCAUCUUCACCACUGUGUCUCCAGUACUUAAACAAGGUUUUAUUCAUAGUCCUUGCUCAGUAAAUGUUUGUUGAAAGAAUGGAUGAAUGGAAAUCUGGUAAUAAAAUUUGGCCCACAGUUCCCUCCCAGAUUACACAUAGUUACAUUUCCAGGCUACACCUGAAGAAAUGAUUUGGCAAGACUGCAAAAAAAAAAAAAAAAGUUAAAUAAAUUGUGGUGUAUUCAUUCACUGAAAUGCUAAACAACUGUUAACAAUGAAAAGGUGGCUCUGUAUUUGUGAGUAAGGAAACAAUUAAGCAAAGAAAGGAGGCUACUGGACAACAUACAUGGUAAUUUACACAAAUGUGUAAAGGAAAAGGGUAAUAUUAGAAAUAUACAGUUUCAAAUGGAUGCUUUCUAAAAUAUAUUUUUGGCUAACAGAAGUCCUAAAAUAGUUUAUAGAUUUGGAAAUUGGAAAAACUGAUGGCUACACAUCUGUAAGAACAAAUUUGCUUGUAGCUUUGGCUGGUCAGAGAAUAUAUACUCCAAACUUUAUACGUGUUGCUUCAGGUUAAUUGGUCCUAAGAUGUGUGAAUCAAAGAAACACAUUCCUUGCAUACAAUGGGACCCACCUCCAGCUGGGAAGGUCCAGCUGGGAUGGGUGGGAAAGCUGAGAGGGAUGGUGAAAACGUGAGUGGUCUAGCUUGGUGGGAGCACAGAGGAGAGGAAACUGGGGCUGGAGAAGGAUUUUAGGAGCAUCCAUGGCGGGUCUCCAGCUUCCAGGAGAAGCGCUAAUGCCUAGUUUAGUAGGCAAUAGGGGGGCCACUGAAAGUUCUUGAGCAGGGCAGUGGUACCUGCCUGAGACUGUAGAUGCUCCGUAAAGUUGAAUAUUACGUGAAUGAUGGGUCACAAUGAUCCUGUUGAAAGUUACCUUUAGAGAACAGAUAUUACUUGAGAUCUACCUCGGUCCUGAGAGCCAACAGAAGCAUGUUCAUGAAAUACCUCUUCUGCCAAAAUAAAGUGUGUUGUACCCCCUCCCCCUAACCUCCACCCCCCCUUACCUACUUCCACGGAACCAGCAGUGACAGGCACUUGUCCCUAAUUCCUGGACUCUCAGAAUCCUGGGAAAUCAAGGAAAGCUGCUCUGAGAUACAUCUGGUCCAUAUAAAUGACAACUCAUUUUUUUUCCUAAUCAGAUUUUUUUUUUUUUUUUGCUGGCAGAAUCACAUAGCUAUUUUCUAAAUCAAAGAUCAAUUUGUUAGAUUAUUUUUUACGGGUGGCAUAGGGGUAAUGGCUUCUGUAAAACAUCUGUUCUAUAAUGAGAAAACAAAGAUUUCUUUGCCCCAACUGAGUGCAAUUACUUUUGGCUACCAGAGAGAAAGUUGUAGAAGCAGCGUCAAAAUUCAAGGAGGAUUGUUUGCAACAGAAUUUUUUCUUUUCUAUUUUUUUUUUCAAAAGUAGCUAGGAGACUGUGUUCAUUAGCAUUUUAUACGCUGUCACAGAAUAAAGCAAAACUUCCAAAUCUGUGUGGGCUUGUUAAUACAAAUGACGGGUGAAUUAGAUUCAGUCAAGUCAAAGGAAUUCUGGUUUGAAAAGAAGUGAGGGGAAAUCCGAGUUAGGGGCCUUUCCUGCAAGUCCGUACAUAGUUUUAAUUCUAGGGCAUCAUUCACCCCCGUGAGUUUAAGGUCUACACUGGCAAAAAAGAAUGACUAUUCUGGAGGCCCCAGGCUCGCUCUGAUUGGUUCUUCAUGAGCAUGUACCUCGAUGUAGGCUUGCUGUGAUCGCACACAUCCUGAGAGCGUGCUUCUCUGCUGUUCGAUUGUCAGCCGGUCUUCUCCGUGUGUCGCUUGCAGCUUCGUUGCCCCUGCACUCUCUGCAUCCUCUGUGUUAUCUUGCUGUUCUCCCCCCAUCACACCCAGGCCCUGAUCUUAUUCUCUUAAUUCGUUUUUUGGAUCUUCCCAGUACAGCUCCUACCCUGAUUUCACCAGUGUCGAAAAUCCAUCCUCAUCCAAUUUCUCGUUGCCACCUCGCAAGUUCUCCAAAAGUCGACUCCUUCCUGGAGCUUUGCCUAACACGCUGAAGACCGUGCAUUCCUCUCUCGUUACUUUUCCAAAGUCCUUGUGCUUUGCAGACCGCUCUUCCUCUGACCCGGAGGAUUGGUCUUCUUCAUCGUUCUGUCCUGCACUCUCUCUUCUCGCUCUGCCUGCUUUCCUCAGGCAGCUGCAUCCUUUUCCUCUCGUGACCCAUUUGUUGUCAACUUGCAGCCCGUGUACUAGUCUUCUGAGCUCUAGAUCCAUGAAGCCAGCCAGCAGCUCAGUGUCUCCCCUUUGAUGUUGUAUUAUUUUCCUGGGGCCACUGUAGCCAAUACUACAGGCUGGUGACUGGAAACAGCAGACAUUGCUGGGAAACAGAGUGAUAUUAGAAUUGCUUUUAUUGGUGAAAAUAGUACCUUGUUAGCUAGCACGAUGAUUGUUAGAAAUCAGCUCUCAUCGGAGAAAAGAAAGCAUUCAGGUUUUGGGUGUUGGCUAAAGUGUUUUGGAGACACCCGUACCUUCCAAACCCAGGGUAUGAAAAUCUUGCAAGGCUGUAGCCGGUACUCUUAGAGUGAGUAGUCUUGUGUUUAGCUUGUGACCCUGGAACAUUUCCAGUGGCCUGAAUCCAACUGAGAGAAUUGAAUCCUGCUUCUGGAGUUGUUGUGUCUGUCUUGACCAAACCUUUCUAAUAAAGGAACUGUUCAAAGCUCCCAAGAGACAGAGAGUUGGGACUUCAUUUGAGUCUGCAGAACUGAUCGCGUGAACUGUUUUGUGUCUGCUUGCCAAGAAACGUUUGUUGAGUAAAUGUCCAUGUGGUUGGAAGACUUUGGUCUGAGAUUUUCUUUCCUUACUCCCUGGCAGAAAGGUUAUAAGAGAAUAGCUAAAACUUCCCCACCCUAAACUUCUUUAGCAGCUGCCAUGAUCUCCCUAAAGAGCUUACAAGUUAUGCAUGACCCUUAGGCCAGAUCACAACAUACGUAGACGUAGAGAUAAUAGACCAUUUCAUUUAUCAGUUUAUGAAUUGAACAGUUAGACUGCAAAUGGACAAGUACAAAAGCCUUUCUCUGGACAACUGAGAGUUGUUGCUCUCAAGGAAACUUCUCUUAAGCCUCGGGAGAUGGGUAGCAGAGGGUGAAAGAGGAGAAAUUCAGGGACCCGGACGCCCACUCUGGGGGAAUAACUGUGGCCGAGGCUGGCGAGAUGGAGUCCUCGUGAAUCCAGUGGCAAAGAGGAAAAGACUCUGGUUGGGAAAUGCAUGACCCAUGGCAAUUAUCUUUGUCCACAAAGAUUUGUGACUUAUUUCCUUCUGUUAAAUCAAGACCAGACCGGGCCCGAAUGCCAGCGAGUCCAUAACAGCAGAGACCUACCAAUUAGUAGGACAGUGAAAUUAAGGACAGACCCAUCUGGCGUGAGGAAACGGCCAUUAAGGUCCAAACCCUGCCUUGUCUUUGUCUUCUCAUCCUGCAUUUCCUUUGGUUUGGAUCUGAGGUCAGUAUCUAGGGGACCAAGAGGUGAGAGAUUCUGUUUUUGGGUGAACGCCAUCUCGACUAAACAAAUGUUUGUGUAUUUUAAUCUCAGGACAGUGGUAGGAACGGAAGGUGAUUAAAUGAAGGAAGGAUAGGCCUUCCACUCACCCAUCCCUGCUUUUGGGCUUCACUCUUACUAAACCCGUUCCACACUGAUGUCCCUCCCUUCAAGGCAAACGGCUUUAUUUCUUAUUCAGUCAUCACAGUGGACCGAUCUGUUACUUAGCUUCUGAAGAUGUGGCGUUUGCAACUUCAGGGGGGACGGGAAGAGAUAAAGACUGGCCAGAGGGAAGGGGUUAGAGGUGGUAUGAUUUUGACAAACUGCAAAGAACAGUUGGCAAACCUUCCUGAAGGCUCUGGUGGUUCAAUUUGCAGGAGCUAAAUUCUCCGUUUUUGUUUUUUUUUUUAAUUUUAUUU